rnacentral:rRNA from 1 species
UUGGAGGGCAAGUCUGGUGCCAGCAGCCGCGGUAAUUCCAGCUCCAAUAGCGUAUAUUAAAGUUGUUGCGGUUAAAAAGCUCGUAGUUGAAUUUCGGGAUCAGAGUGUCGGUCGUGCCUCGGUACGCACUGGUAUUAUUGGUUCCUACCUUCUGAAGAACCGCGAUGUCAUUAAUUUGGUGUCGUGGGGAAUCAGGACUGUUACUUUGAAAAAAUUAGAGUGUUUAAAGCAGGCUUACGCUUGAAUACAUUAGCAUGGAAUAAUGAAAUAGGACGUUUGAUUCUAUUUUGUUGGUUUCUAGGAUUGACGUAAUGAUUAAUAGGGAUAGUUGGGGGCAUUAGUAUUCAAUUGUCAGAGGUGAAAUUCUUGGAUUUAUUGAAGACUAACUACUGCGAAAGCAUUUGCCAAGGAUGUUUUCAUUAAUCAAGAACGAAAGUUAGGGGAUCGAAGACGAUCAGAUACCGUCGUAGUCUUAACCAUAAACUAUGCCGACUAGGGAUCGGAUGAUGUUAAUUUUUAAUGACUCAUUCGGCGCCUUACGGAAAC